rnacentral:rRNA from 1 species
AUUGAACGCUGGCGGAAUGCUUUACACAUGCAAGUCGAGCGGCAGCGCGGCCUUCGGGCUGGCGGCGAGCGGCGAACGGGUGAGUAAUGCAUCGGAACAUGCCCAGUCGUGGGGGAUAACACUUCGAAAGAAGUGCUAAUACCGCAUACGUCCUGAGGGGGAAAGCGGGGGAUCGCAAGACCUCGCGCGAUUGGAGUGGCCGAUGUCAGAUUAGCUAGUUGGUGGGGUAAGGGCCUACCAAGGCGACGAUCUGUAGCUGGUCUGAGAGGAUGAUCAGCCACACUGGGAGUGAGACACGGCCCAGACUCCUACGGGAGGCAGCAGUGGGGAAUUUUGGACAAUGGGGGCAACCCUGAUCCAGCCAUUCCGCGUGAGUGGAGAAGGCCUUCUGGUUGUAAAGCUCUUUCGGCAGGAACGAAACGGUGGGCUCUAACAUAGUCCGCUAAUGACGGUACCUGAAGAAGAAGCACCGGCUAACUACGUG